GCCACCACACCCAGCUUCCCCUUUAAAUAUUGAAGCCAUCUCUCAAAAUUAUCUUUGGAGAAAGGCACAAACCCCAGACCAUUUCUUUGAUUCCGUGCUUUUUGCUUCUGGGCAUGUCCUUAACCUUGGCAAAAUAAACUUCUAAAUUGAUUGAGACCUGUCUCAGAUACUUUUUGGUUUACAAUUAUAAUCUAUGGUCCCCUAGAUCAUAAGGGCCCUUCCUAUACCCCAGGAAACUCAGUGUUACUAAUACCUAGAAAUUGCCCCUUUUCUGUCUCAUCAGCCAGCCCGUAGCCCCUGGGUGCCCACGUGGCCUCACCUGGCCCCAGUUCACCACAGCCUCUUUGGAUUCUGUGGUUUAACUCAUCAGAUGUGCCAUAUCUUGCUAAUUACAGGAGCAAGGUAAGGAACUAACCUUUACUAAGGAUGCAUUAUUGGCCAGACACUACUGACUCUUACAGUGGCCACUAAACCCUUCACAAUAAUAUCUACUCUUUAGAUAAAUGUUUUUGCCAUUUUAGAAAUUAUGUUGCGUGAAGUCGCUCGGCCAGUAGCAUUGGAAUUGGAGCCCAGACUCAAAGCUCUUAACUCAAAGCCCCCGCUCUGUUCUCCCGCGCAUGGUUGGACCCCUAGCCCUUGGCCCCCUUCCCUUGCCUUUGACCUGCCCCUCAAAGGACUGAGGAUAAUUUGUAGGAAAUCCUGUUCAAGCAAUCUAUGAUCCAGGUAAUCUGUGGUGAGUGAUGGCCAAAGCUAGAGUUGAAGAAGAACACCAGCAUGACAAAGGCAUGUGAGGAGUGGGGGCGGGGAAGCCAGGGAGGGGGCUGGCUUCUUGGUUCAGCCAAGAAGCAGCAACAACUAAAGAGGGAGACAUAGUAGGAUGAAAUGCUAAUUAGUGGCUUCCGGGAUUUUACAAAUAUCUUUAAAUUUAGUGAGUUUUUCAUAUACUUCACAUGAAAAUCGCCUCCCCACACACAGGUCGCAGAAGUUGGUGGCCAUCUGUGCCAUCUUCCCAGUGAACUUGCAGACAAAACCAACAGCACAAUGCUGAUAUGAAGAACAGAUGAAAUUUACAGAUGUUUGCACUUUUCCAUGUGUUUAUUGGCCCCCAUGGCUCUUUCCUGAGUGGCCUGACCAGCCCUCUCCCCCAGUCUCCUGGGCCCCAUAGUAGAGGGAGCAGAAGAGGGUGGGAAGGAGCCCCAGCUGGGAGGAGACAGGAAGGAAAAACCAGCCUUUGUUUGAACCUGAACCCUCGUCCCAGGCUGGCUACCAGUCCUCCUGUUCCAGCCUUCCUUUUCCAGUAUGAAUAAUCCCAGUUUCUUUCAUCUGAACUCCUGAACCUCCUUCAGCUCUUCCAGUCCACCAGCACCCUCGUGAUUCUGGGCUUAACACAGGUUCCAACUGUGCACCUGCAGAAAAGAGGUCAACCGACUCCUGAAGGUCCAACUUACCCUUCCACUUGAGAGGUUUCUAUAAGUUGAUUAUGAGAUGUUGGCUGAAGAGCAACACUUGGGUAAGUAGACAUUUGUUCUCUGCUGGAACUUCCCACUCAGCAAAUGUAUUUCACCAUAAAGUUAUCUCAAGAUACAAAUAAAAUUAAACCUGGAAAUGAGGCUUUUAAAAGCAUUUCCUUGCCAUGCAAUUGCCAUAACAAAUGUUUGGUUAGGUUUCAUUAUUUAAAAAACAGUCUGUAAUUAAAACACGGUCCUGCCUAGUGCUUGGACAACAAACUGUAAGAAAAGAAACUGCUUGGUCUUCCCACUCCAUCACUACCUGAGACAGCCCGAGAUAACAAUUAAACCACCAUGGUUGCAGUCUGUACUUUGUUAAAUGCUGUAAACUAUUGCCAUUAAUUUCCAUAAAGAUGUGAAGAUGUGAGAUUUGAGUUUUAAACAAUAUAAUAAAACUGAAUUUGUUAAAGUUCUACUUAGGCAUAUAAACAAGCAUUAUUAAAUGACAUUAUUUUACACUAUUGAAAAUGAGGGAAAUGCAUACAUUUUCUCAAAGUCAUUUCAUGAGCCUGUGUUUUGAGGAAUACAGUAAACGUACAGCCUCUCACAUUGAAGUGUUAGCAGGUUGCACUGACAUUGCUGUCUUUAGGUGCUGACACAUUUCAUCUAUUUACAAUAUAGUUAUGAACUUGGAGCUUUGGGGAAGGGUUCUGGGCUGAGAGAAAGAGAAGCUGGGCUUCUGGGCCACAGCCAGUUUCAGACAAAGAUAAGAAUGACUUAACAAUUUGUUUUCUACGUUUGCAAUGUUUCUCCUAAAUUCCUUUUGUGUUAUCAGUAGACAUGGUAGUUGCUUUUUCUUUUGAGGCCUUUGAGGUUAAAAUGCACUUAACAGCAAUUGUUUAUUUUUGGACAUGCAUAUCAUACUGUCUUUCAUCCGAUGCUGACGUGGCUACUUUCCAUCAGGUCAAAGAAAGUUCAGGUUUCUAAGGGAAUUUUGCACUGACAGAAUCCCACAUUAGGAAACAGAUGGUUUCAGAUGUAACUUUAUUUUUAGGAUGUGUUUAUCAAUUAUUUUUUCAUGUUAAUUUGAUCCCAUUAGCAAUCAAUAAAUGCAUUAAGAGUUGUCCUGAAACUCUAUUUGACUUGAGAAUCAAUAAUUCCAUUAGGAUUGGAGGGCCUGUUCUGGUUUACAAACCUAUGAUGGUUUCUAAAGUAGUAGUCUGUGUAACUCCAAAAGAUUAACUCAAAAGAAGUGAAUUUCUUUUUCUGUAGUUAUUUUAGUUGUUGAACUAACCAAUGUAGCGGUGUCCAUGAGGAAUACUGAUUUAGACCACUGGUGCACUUCAUGUGCCUUUGAAAUAAACAACAAUGAUAUCUCAUUCACUCCAGCCUGGAGAAACUUAUAAAGAGCUAGUGUCCCGGGCUCUACCAGAAUCUGGAUCAUGAAGUCCCCUGGGGAGAGUGUUUCCCCUAGUCUGUUAGCUGAUAUUUUUCAUUAAGCUAAGCUGAAAAGCAUUCAGUAAGAUUUAUCGGCACAAUUUAAUGUUGGUGUAGUCUGAGUUUUUGAGACAGAAGUUGGCCAAGGAAAGUAUAGCUGAACCCAAUUACACAAUCUGGUGGCAAAGGAAAGGAUUUGACACUGGCGUUUAAAGUUCCAGGAGGGAAGCUCCAAUUUUGCCUAUCCCAUUGCCUGUGGUCUUUUCCACUCAUAUGAAGAAUAUGUCCCAUUUACCAUGGCCCCCACCAGAAUCCAGCCCCUUAUCCAUGUUUGCUGCUUCCAUGGCCUGGACAACCUGCCAUGCAUCACUCAGCCUCAAAACCUGGACAUCAUCCUUGACGUCUUUUCCUCUCAAUGACUGCCCAAUCAGUAUUGCAAGCUCACUGCCACCACUGAUCCUAAUCCUAUCCCCACUCUCCUGGAAGACCAGUCUUUCCAUUCUUGGUCUUGCUCCCAUUUAAUGCAUCUCUUCACAGAGCAGCCAGAGAGAUCUUUCUAAAACAAGAUCAGAUCAUUCCUGGGAUUUAAAACCCUCAAUGGCUCCUCAGGGCCCUCAGUUUAAACUUUGUAAUGUGACUUCUAGGACCCUUGGUGUCCCCACUAACAUCAACCUUACCCCUGAGUUAAUAUCUUCUCAUUUUCCCUCCAUUUGUGUCUUCUGCCAUUCUCUCUGAUGCUUCAGGGCUUUUGUGUACUGCCUUCUACCUCUCACCUUGUUAACUCUCAGUCCCUAGAGAACCUUCUCUAAUUCCAUUCCCCACCCAGCAUCUGUUUCUAGUGUGGAUGGACCCCCCUGGCACCUGCUCUUAUCUUUAGUGUAGAGCUUUUGCCUAGUUCCUUCUCUCUCACCCAAAAGCCUGGGUGACUCUAGUGGACCAGGACAUGCAAACUCUACCCCUAGAUGUAGCACAGUCCUUAAAGGCAUUGAGUGUUAAGCAAAUACUAUGUAUUACAGCUCUUUAUUUAAUUCUGGUCACACUGGCAAUUAAAAUAUUCAUUGACCUUCACUGAACCACAUAAAUACACUGGAUUUUAAACUCCUUGAGGAUGGAGGCCUUGCUUAGUUGCCUUUGUAUCCCUCUCACACACAUAGUAAGUGUUCAGCAAAUGUUCACUGAAGUUGCUCCUGGUUGUUGAGAACACAACUGUUUCUAUCAUUUUUACCUUGAUUUCAUUUUUUUAAAUUGAGAUAUAUUUUACAUAUCAUAAAAUUCACCCACUUGAAGUCUACAGUUCAGUGGAUUUUAGUAUACUCACAGAGUUCCGCAACCAUCACCACAAUCUGAUUUCAGAACAUUUUUAUCACCCUAGAAAGAACUGGGUACCCAUUAGCAAUCACUCCACACUGCCCUCUACCUCCCACCCCCACCCUAGCCCUAGGCAAACACUAAUCUGUUUUUUGUCUCUUUAGAUUUGCUUUUUCGGGACAUUUCAUAUAAACAAAAUUGUACCAUAGGUAGACUUUUGUGACUGGCUUC
rnacentral:lncRNA from 1 species